rnacentral:rRNA from 1 species
AGUGAACGCUGGCGGUAGGCCUAACACAUGCAAGUCGAACGGCAGCACAGUAAGAGCUUGCUCUUACGGGUGGCGAGUGGCGGACGAGUGAGGAAUACAUCGGAAUCUACUUUUUCGUGGGGGAUAACGUAGGGAAACUUACGCCAAUACCGCAUACGACCUACGGGUGAAAGCAGGGGAUCUUCGGACCUUGCGCGAUUGAAUGAGCCGAUGUCGGAUUAGCUAGUUGGCGGGGUAAAGGCCCACCAAGGCGACGAUCCGUAGCUGGUCUGAGAGGAUGAUCAGCCACACUGGAACUGAGACACGGUCCAGACUCCUAUGGGAGGCAGCAGUGGGGAAUAUUGGACAAUGGGCGCAAGCCUGAUCCAGCCAUACCGCGUGGGUGAAGAAGGCCUUCGGGUUGUAAAGCCCUUUUGUUGGGAAAGAAAAGCAGCAGGUUAAUACCCCGCUGUUCUGACGGUACCCAAAGAAUAAGCACCGGCUAACUUCGUG